rnacentral:lncRNA from 1 species
AGGGAGGAGUUUUGCCCAGGUUCCAGCUGGUUUUUGGUCACUUUUCCCUGCAGCCACAGGAGGUGGUUUUCCCUCUUUCUGCAAACAGGGGCUGAUUCCCAAGUGGCACUCUGGUUUGGGACUUCGAGGAGAUGAUCGAGUAGAGCUUUGGACCAGCGGGCCAGGACUGGUGCCCAGCCUCGCUGCAGAGAGGCAGCCGUGACACCAGGGGACAGAGACGGGCAGGACGUGGCAGCUCCAGCACAGACAGGGCUCUGAGCAGCAGCUCCAGGCUGGGAUAACCGAGAGCAGCUCCCGUGGCACAGCAGCGGGACAUGGACCCCCUGACAGGACAAGAGCCCAGCAAGGUGAUCGGGGUUGUCCUGGGCAUCGGGCUGGCCCUGCUGCUCCUGGCGAGUUUUGGCUACACCUUCAUCCGGUGGUACCGGCGGGGCCGCUGCCAGCACCGGCCUGACUUUGUCUUCAGCUUCUACCACUCGCGGUGAGUGGUGCCCCGGGGGCACAGGGGCAGGCUGGCACCUCCCUUUGCGCAGUGCCAAGGUGCCACAAGCCCUCUGCUCAGCCAGUUCUGCUGCUGGCAGGGGGCUGGCAGGGGCUGGAGGAGGGAGGGCAGCUUGGUGACCUCUCUGCUUUCCCUGCAGCGGGCUGGGGUCGGUGGCACUGGAGCUGGUGCCACCGUUCAGCAUCAGUGGCUCGCUGGGCACCUCGGGCAGUGGCUACGAGCCCUUCCACAACCAGGGGCUGUGAGGUGAGAG